AAAGAGCACCGGCUACUCCGUNCAGCAGCCGCGGUAAUACGGAGGGUGCCAGCGUUUAUCGGAAAUACUGGGCGUAAGGCGCGCGUAGGCGGCUGUUAAGUCGAAUGUGAAAUCCCCGGGCUCAACCUGGGAAUGGCAUCCGAUACUGACGAGCUGGAGUGCGAUAGAGGGGGGUAGAAUUCCUAGUGUAGCGGUGAAAUGCGUAGAUAUUAGGAGGAAUACCGGUGGCGAAGGCGGCCCCCUGGAUCGACACUGACGCUGAGGUGCGAAAGCGUGGGUAGCAAACAUGAUUAGAUACCCUGGUAGUCCACGCCGUAAACGAUGUCUACUAGCCGUUGGAGAUCUAGAAUCUUUAGUGGCGAAGCUAACGCGAUAAGUAGACCGCCUGGGGAGUACGGCCGCAAGGUUAAAACUCAAAUGAAUUGACGGGGGCCCGCACAAGCGGUGGAGCAUGUGGUUUAAUUCGACGCAACGCGAAGAACCUUACCUGGCCUUGACAUCCUGCGAACUUUCUAGAGAUAGAUUGGUGCCUUCGGGAGCGCAGAGACAGGUGCUGCUUGGCUGUCGUCAGCUCGUGUCGUGAGAUGUUGGGUUAAGUCCCGCAACGAGCAUCGAC
rnacentral:rRNA from 1 species